UACGGGGGGGGCAAGCGUUGUUCGGAAUUACUGGGCGUAAAGGGCUCGUAGGUGGCCGACUAAGUCAGACGUGAAAUCCCUCAGCUUAACUGGGGAACUGCGUCUGAUACUGGAUGGCUUGAAUUCGGGAGAGGAAUGUGGAAUUCCAGGUGUAGCGGUGAAAUGCGUAGAUAUCUGGAGGAACACCGGCGGCGAAGGCGGCAUUCUGGACCGAUAUUGACGCUGAGGAGCGAAAGCCAGGGGAGCAAACGGG
rnacentral:rRNA from 1 species